rnacentral:pre_miRNA from 1 species
UGGACAGAUUAUUGUAUUCGACUGUAUCCAUGGCGUGAAAUAGGGGAUUACACUGUUUUUAAAUCGGAAAGUGAAUCAAUUAACAUAAUAGACUCCU